rnacentral:piRNA from 1 species
UAAGUAGAUUUUCUGCAAGGCUAUAUCGA